rnacentral:rRNA from 1 species
GACGAACCGUGCGAACGUUGUUCGGAAUCACUGGGCUUAAAGGGCGCGUAGGCGGGCUGCCAAGUCAGGGGUGAAAUCUUUCGGCCCAACCGGAAAAGCGCUUCUGAUACUGGCAGUCUCGAGGGAGGUAGGGGUCGGCGGAACUGGUGGUGGAGCGGUGAAAUGCGUAGAGAUGGGGGAGAACACUCGUGGCGAAGGCGGCCAGCUAGACCAGUUCUGACACUGAGGCGCGACAGCGUGGGGAGCAAACAGG